rnacentral:piRNA from 1 species
UAAGGAUUAAUAAUGUUCAGAUUAAGCCUU